UACAGAGGGUGCAAGCGUUGUUCGGAAUUCUUGGGCGUAAAGCGCGUGUAGGCGGCUUUGCAAGUCGGGUGUGAAAGCCCUCAGCUCAACUGAGGAAGUGCGCCCGAAACUGCAGAGCUUGAGUACCGGAGAGGAUGGUGGAAUUCCCCAAGUAGAGGUGAAAUUCGUAGAUAUGGGGAGGAACACCGGUGGCGAAGGCGACCAUCUGGACGGAUACUGACGCUGAGACGCGAAAGCGUGGGUAGCAAACAGG
rnacentral:rRNA from 1 species